UACAGAGGGGGCUAGCGUUAUUCGGAAUUAUUGGGCGUAAAGGGCGCGUAGGCGGCCAUGCGUGUCUUCCGUGAAAUCCCUCGGCUUAACUGAGGACGUGCGGAAGAAACUGCAAGGGCUCGAGUCCGGGAGAGGGGGGUGGAAUUCCCAGUGUAGCGGUGAAAUGCGUAGAUAUUGGGAGGAACACCGGUGGCGAAGGCGGCCCCCUGGACGAUUACUGACGCUGAGACGGCGAAAGCGUGGGGAGCAAACAGG
rnacentral:rRNA from 1 species